GGAAAAUUCUACCAUCUGCGCAAGCCCACAAUGGACGAUUGCCAUGAUCGGGUUUGAGUUCCAGUUUAGUGAAAUCCAUCUUCUUCCCUUCCCUCUCACCAUCAUGAAAAUCAUCACCGCCUUCUUCAGGGUAGUAGUGAUCAUCAUCAGCAGUUGAAGCCCGAUACUCCUCCUUAGAAGCAAACUUGAUCUUCUUGCUGGGUCGACUUUUAUCACCGUGUCCGUGAUGACCCAUUUAUGAGAUGAUGCAAAGUCUGUUUAUUGAAUCCCAAAUUUGAGCUUUGAGAGUUUCUCUGUUCUCUCUUUCGGUUUGUUUAUCAGUCUCUUCGAAUGGCG
rnacentral:misc_RNA from 1 species